rnacentral:lncRNA from 1 species
GCAGCAGGCGCUGUCCAGCGUCGCAGCCCCGAUACCAGGCUAGAUGGGCCCCUGCUCUCACUGGGCCUGGCAGGUUCCGAGCAGCAGCUUGUGCAUCCCCCAGAGCCUGGACACGCAGGGAGGUGGCCAGGGGCAUCUGCCAAGCAGAGUGGACCCUGUACGGAGACCCAGUGUGGGAAGACAUGCAGGAGCCCAAGUUCACAGCUGCUGUGGCCUUGGCACCUCUUUCAGCCCUUUCCUAGAGCAAAGAGCUGCCAGAAAUCUCCUCCCCGUGGCUGUGCUCGGCUACCCAGCUCAGUGCUCUGUAGCCCCAGGGAACCGUCCUGGUCAGACAGUUCUCAAGCUGCAUUGGGAAACUAGGUAAGAUGUUUGUCCUGCUGCUCCAGCCCCCCCUUCCCCUCCUCUGGUGGUUAGAAACCUUCUUCUCCUUCCAGCCUGCAUUUACUCCUGGCCAUUUAUCCCCAUUUGUUUUUGUGCCAAUGCUGUCCCUUAGCAUCAGGAGCCCUUCUUCCUCCCUGGUGGUUUGGAUGCCAGCUGCUUGCUUUACCAGCUGGGAGUUGAGAUUUCCUCCAGAAUCCCUGGUAAAGGUCCUGAGCAGCAUUGUGCCAGGCACAGAUCCCCACAGGCCCCCACUGGAAGCAUCCCUCCUUGUAUGAGGGUUUCCCCAUUGGCUGCUGUUCUCUGAGAUCUGCUCGGCUGCGUCCAAGGUGUUGGUAUUGCCGACGUGAGGAGGAUUCGCAGAGCUGCCGAAGGGGCUGGGAUGUGCCCGUCUCCUGGUUGGUAUAAUAACAAGAACUGAGGGCCAGAGUCUAAAGAGAUCUGGGCACCUGAGAAGCAGAUAAAAGCACCCACUAGGUCCCUGUUGGCUUUUUA